rnacentral:tRNA from 1 species
GUGACUGAAAUGGUAGAGUACCUGCUUAACAAGCACGAGGCCCUGAGUUCAAAUCCCAGC